UACGAAGGGGGCUAGCGUUGCUCGGAAUCACUGGGCGUAAAGCGCACGUAGGCGGAUCUUUAAGUCAGGGGUGAAAUCCCGGAGCUCAACUCCGGAACUGCCUUUGAUACUGGGGAUCUUGGAGUCCGGGAGAGGUGAGUGGAACUGCGAGUGUAGAGGUGAAAUUCGUAGAUAUUCGCAAGAACACCAGUGGCGAAGGCGGCUCACUGGCCCGGUACUGACGCUGAGGUGCGAAAGCGUGGGGAGCAAACAGGG
rnacentral:rRNA from 1 species